rnacentral:rRNA from 1 species
GACGAACGCUGGCGGCGUGCCUAAUACAUGCAAGUCGAGCGAAGCGGCGGAUGGGUGAGUAACGCGUGGGUAACCCGCCCUUAAGUCUGGGAUACCAUUUGGAAACAGAUGCUAAUACUGGAUAUUAAUGGACGGACCUUCCAUGCCUUAGCUAGUUGGUAAGGUAACGGCUGACCAAGGCGAUGAUGCAUAGCCGAGGUGAGAGGCUGAUCGGCCACAUUGGGACUGAGACACGGCCCAAACUCCUACGGGAGGCAGCAGUAGGGAAUCUUCCCCAAUGGACGAAAGUCUGAUGGAGCAACGCCGCGUGAGGGAAGAAGGUUUUCGGAUCGUAAAGCUCUGUUGUUGGUGAAGCGGUAAUCAACCAGAAAGUCACGGCUAACUACGUGCCAGCAGCCGCGGUAAUAC